CAGUCGAACGCAGUAGCAAUACUGAGUGGCAGACGGGUGAGUAACAUGUGGGAAUCUGCCUUGUGGUUCAGGACAACAUUGGGAAACCGAUGCUAAUACUGGAUAAGCCCUUACGGGGAAAGUUUUAAUGCCAUAAGAUGAGCCCGCAUUUGAUUAGUUAGUUGGUGAGGUAAUGGCUCACCAAGACAAUGAUCAAUAGCUGAUCUGAGAGGAUGAUCAGCCACACUGGGACUGAGACACGGCCCAGACUCCUACGGGAGGCAGCAGUGGGGAAUCUUGCACAAUGGAGGAAACUCUGAUGCAGCGAUGCCGCGUGAGUGAAGAAGGCCUUUGGGUUGUAAAGCUCUUUUGUAGGGGAAGAUAAUGACUGUACCCUAAGAAUAAGGUCCGGCUAACUUCGUGCCAGCAGCCGCGGUAAUACGAAGGGACCUAGCGUAGUUCGGAAUUACUGGGCGUAAAGCGCGCGUAGGCCGUUGAGUUAGUUAAUUGUGAAAUCCCAAAGCUUAACUUUGGAACUGCAAUUAAAACUGCUCGACUAGAGUUUGAUGGAGGAAAGCGGAAUACAUAGUGUAGAGGUGAAAUUCGUAGAUAUUAUGUAGAACACCAGUUGCGAAGGCGGCUUUCUGGAUCAACACUGACGCUGAGGCGCGAAAGUAUGGGUAGCAAAGAGGAUUAGAUACCCUCGUAGUCCAUACCAUAAACGAUGAUUGCUAGAUGUUGGAAAUUUAUUUUCAGUAUCGCAGCUAACGCAUUAAGCAAUCCGCCUGGGGAGUACGACCGCAUGGUUAAAACUCAAAUGAAUUGACGGG
rnacentral:rRNA from 1 species